rnacentral:lncRNA from 1 species
AGAGAGGCUGUGAGGGUGGCUUUGUGAGGAUGGCUUUGUGUGGCUGCACAUUGCCCUUGGCCAAGCCCCGCUGCCAGGAGAGGCAGCUCGGCUGCCAAACCUCCUGAACCCAAGUUACCUGAGCAAGCAGCCCUAUCCCCUCGCCUGCUUCUCACUGCCUCGCCUGCCUUGGGCCUGCCCGACCCAGGGGGUCACAUGCCUUGUUCCCCAUCAGUGGAGACCAGGGACAAGAAGACAGUUCUGUGGGAAGAGCCAGGAGGACCAUUUGGGAAAAUACAGGUUCCAGGUGUGUCUCCAGACCUUGAGAGUUGGUGUCUCCUGGGAAGAGGCCCUGAUGAGAUCUGGGGAGAUUCGGAUCUGAUGAGAUUCAGGAAGCCCUGGCCUCUCCGUACUUGAGGAGACGGGACACACAGGACAAGCUGCAGGCUGGUGAGCAGGUUCACCUUCUAUUUUGAAGACCCGCUUCUUCCUCAGGUACCUGAUCUUGAAAACGACCUCCCCUUUCAGGUCACCUUCUGCCUGACUCCUACAUCCCUUUCAGAAGGACCCUUGUGAUUCCAUGAGGUCCACCCAGAUCACGCAGGAUAAUGUCCCCGUCUCAAGAGGCUUAAUCUAAUCACAGGUCUUGCUUCCCCUCAACCCAGACACCGACUCGCCCAAGGGUCUUCCAGCUGGCUGAGUUGGAACCUGCAUUUUUUAACCACAAGGAAAAGAAGCCCAGAGCUACCAAGAAUAAUAUUUUAUUGACUUGGAAUGAGUUUUGGAAUCUGUAUUUUUAACAAGCUGCCCAGUGAAAACCAUUUCCUCCUCGUCGUGGCGCAGGUCCAGAGGCUGCGCCCAUCUCUCCCACGUCAACAGUCCUGUGUCCUUGGCGAAGGACUGUUCUCUCAUUCAGUGCCUUUCCUCUCUUCCUGGGCCAAAUCCCUGCUUUGCGUCUCCCUGCAGCUCAUAAAAAGCUGAAUUACCUGAGGCAGGGAAAGCCCCACCCACUGUCAUUCUCAGGGAGGAGUGGAGUCUGCAGAGGCCGCAAUGCACAGCUUCCCUAUCCCCCUCCACCCGUGUUUUCCCAGAGCAGCUCUGUUCCAGGCCCGGGGGUGUCCCUGGGCCGAGAUGGAAUCCAGCCCUGACCACCUCCCAAAGCCAACAGCCCUGAGUGAGCGUGCAGAGAAGCAAGAGCUGUUCCUGAUGCAGAGCAAAGACAUCUCCCAGUCAAGGGGGAUGAACUGAUUUGGGACAAAAGGCAGUUGUUGGCUGAGGAAGGCAGGAUCUGGGGGAGCCCUGUGCUGAGUGGAGGUGGGUGGGUGUAUUUCCUUGGCUCACAGAGGCCUCUUGUCUGGUGGGAUCAGCUCCUCCAGCCAGUUGCCACCUGGUCCAGCUUUGGGAGAUGUGGAGAAUGACUUUCGCAGUGAUUUCCACUGGGCCAUGGCAUUGAAACAGCUGCAGGAGGGGACACAGCUGGUGCCACCCCUACUCCGUCCAUUAGAGCUGCUGUGAAGGAAUGCCACCCUCCCCAUGGGGAGUGAGGGGGCCCUACUUGCUGUGGUUGGUUCCAGGGACCAUGGGAAGAGGCAAACCCCUAUUUUCAAGGGCACAAGUUGGCUUUUAUUAAAAUAAAAUUUCAUCAUCACUUAUUCCAGUGGCUCCCAAACUUGGCUAAACAUCAGGAUCACCCAGGAUGUUUGUUAAAAAAUAAAGAUUAUGGCCGGGU